GGCCCUGAUGGACACGGAGGGGACACGGGGGGGACACAGAGGGGACACAGGGGGGACACCCAGGGGUGACUGAAGGAGAUCCAGGGGGACACGGAGGUGACCAAGGGUGACACAGGUGACACUGGUGACACACAGGUCACACUCAGGUGUCACUGGUGACACACAGGUGACACACAGGUGGCACAGGUGACACACAGGUGACACUCAGUUGUCAUUGGUGACACACAGGUGACACAGGUGACACACAGGUGACAC